AGAGUUUGAUCAUGGCUCAGGAUGAACGCUAGCUACAGGCUUAACACAUGCAAGUCGAGGGGCAGCAUUUUAGUUUUGCUUGCAAACUGAAGAUGGCGACCGGCGCACGGGUGAGUAACACGUAUCCAACCUGCCGAUAACUCCGGAAUAGCCUUUCGAAAGAAAGAUUAAUACCGGAUAGCAUACGAAUAUCGCAUGAUUAUUUUUAUUAAAGAAUUUCGGUUAUCGAUGGGGAUGCGUUCCAUUAGUUUGUUGGCGGGGUAACGGCCCACCAAGACUACGAUGGAUAGGGGUUCUGAGAGGAAGGUCCCCCACAUUGGAACUGAGACACGGUCCAAACUCCUACGGGAGGCAGCA
rnacentral:rRNA from 1 species